GUGCCUGGCACCUUGGGUUCAAAACACCUCGACGCACACGACCCCCAACAGAGACAUGCGUGACGAUGGGGAAAUACAGGCACUUAGAGAGAGGGGACAGGAGACGGACACUAUACACACACGGGAGGGGGGUGGAAGGAGAGGGCAAACAUCAUGCCACCACAGUGCACCACACAGCAAGUCUAGUUACGCGACACCUUAGCAGGGAAAAGUGCACCCCAGAC